AUUGAACGCUGGCGGCAUGCCUUACACAUGCAAGUCGAACGGUAACAGGUCUUCGGAUGCUGACGAGUGGCGAACGGGUGAGUAAUACAUCGGAACGUGCCUAGUAGUGGGGGAUAACUACUCGAAAGAGUGGCUAAUACCGCAUGAGAUCUACGGAUGAAAGUAGGGGAUCGCAAGACCUUGUGCUACUAGAGCGGCCGAUGGCAGAUUAGGUAGUUGUUGGGAUAAAAGCUUACCAAGCCGACGAUCUGUAGCUGGUCUGAGAGGACGAUCAGCCACACUGGGACGGAGACACGGCCCAGACUCCUACGGGAGGCAGCAGUGGGGAAUUUUGGACAAUGGGCGAAAGCCUGAUCAAGCAAUGCCGCGUGCAGGAUGAAGGCCUUCGGGUUGUAAACUGCUUUUGUACGGAACGAAAAGCCCCGGGUUAAUACCCUGGGGUCAUGACGGUACCGUAAGAAUAAGCACCGGCUAACUACGUGCCAGCAGCCGCCGUAA
rnacentral:rRNA from 1 species